ACUCCUACGGGAGGCAGCAGUGAGGAAUAUUGGACAAUGGGCGAAAGCCUGAUCCAGCCAUGCCGCGUGCAGGAUGACGGCCCUACGGGUUGUAAACUGCUUUUAUACGGGAAUAAACCCCUCUACGUGUAGAGGGCUGAAGGUACCGUAAGAAUAAGGAUCGGCUAACUCCGUGCCAGCAGCCGCGGUAAUACGGAGGAUCCAAGCGUUAUCCGGAUUUAUUGGGUUUAAAGGGUCCGCAGGCGGGAUACUAAGUCAGUGGUGAAAGCCUGCAGCUUAACUGUAGCACUGCCAUUGAUACUGGUAUUCUUGAGUGUGGUUGAAGUGGGCGGAAUAUGUCAUGUAGCGGUGAAAUGCAUAGAUAUGACAUAGAACACCUAUUGCGAAGGCAGCUCACUAAGCCAUUACUGACGCUCAGGGGACGAAAGCGUGGGUAGCAAACAGGAUUAGAUACCCUGGUAGGCUCUG
rnacentral:rRNA from 1 species